GGAAAUCCAAUGGGCUGGCAACUAAGACCAGCAAUCAGACCAUGACAUCGUCCUUGAAUCCGGACUGGUUUUGGAGUUUCUGUCUCUCAACAAGGGCCAGCUUGGGCUGAAGCUUUGAGGACUGUACUGAAUGAAGAAUGUGAAACAUGGUUAAUCCAUUUUAACUUUGUCACAACUGGUUCUGCAGACACAUGGAAGUGAACUGGAUUGAGUUCCAGGACACAGGUAGCAAAAAUCUGACCAGCUGUUCUGUUACCACUUACCAGGCACUGUCGUCUUCCUAGAUGCGGAUUGGAAAAAAACAAAACGAUGGAGUUUAUGAUGCCAUCCUUGAAUC